GACGAACGCUGGCGGCGUGCUUAACACAUGCAAGUCGAACGAUGAACCGGUUUCGGCCGGGGAUUAGUGCGAACGGGUGAGUAACACGUGGGCAAUCUGCCCUGCACUCUGGGAUAAGCCCGGGAAACUGGGUCUAAUACCGGAUACGACACUCCGAGGCAUCUUGGGGUGUGGAAAGUUCCGGCGGUGCAGGAUGAGCCCGCGGCCUAUCAGCUUGUUGGUGGGGUAAUGGCCUACCAAGGCGACGACGGGUAGCCGGCCUGAGAGGGUGACCGGCCACACUGGGACUGAGACACGGCCCAGACUCCUACGGGAGGCAGCAGUGGGGAAUAUUGCACAAUGGGCGAAAGCCUGAUGCGGCGACGCCGCGUGAGGGAUGACGGCCUUCGGGUUGUAAACCUCUUUCAGCAGGGAAGAAGCGAAAGUGACGGUACCUGCAGAAGAAGCACCGGCUAACUACGUG
rnacentral:rRNA from 1 species